rnacentral:rRNA from 1 species
UACAGAGGUCUCAAGCGUUGUUCGGAUUCAUUGGGCGUAAAGGGUGUGUAGGUGGCGCGCUAAGUCGGGUGUGAAAUUCGGAGCUUAACUCCGAAACUGCAUUCGAUACUGCCGUGCUUGAGGACUGGAGAGGAGACUGGAAUUUACGGUGUAGCGGUGAAAUGCGUAGAUAUCGUAAGGAAGACCAGUGGCGAAGGCGGGUCUCUGGACAGUUC